rnacentral:lncRNA from 1 species
UUGGUUUAACGGUUGGGGCAGCAAAUGAAAAAAUAGAAAAUUUUAUGAAUGGUGAUAACCAUCUCAUGGGUGAUAAUGGAAAAUAUUUGAUGCUUGAUGCGGCCUCUUGCAGGCGGUAGGAGUCGUCGGCCACCAUCACUGCCACCCUUCAUGCUGGGAAAAUCUGUGAACUUGCUAUGGGUAAUUGUUAUGUGAUAGAAAAUUUAUGAGA